AGGGAUUCCGGCCAGGGUCCCUCCCCAAGUGGAGGGCCCUGCUGGGCCGGGAAAACUACACUUCCCGGCAUGCCUCACCUCGGGUGCGCCUGCGUGCCGGAGCAACCCUGCUGGCGAGCGGGUUGGUUUAAAGAGCUGUUUUAGUUCCAUGGAAACAAACUUGCUGCCUGGAGGACCGAGCUACGGGCUGUUGGAUGAAUCAGGGGUGCAAAUGGAAACUACAGUGUGCAGACCAGUCCUGUCUCCAACCCACAUCAAUGGGACAGCUUCUGAAACGUUCACAGUACUUCAGCAGAAGAUGAGAAUAGUUGAGGAACAGACCAGCUCUCUGAGAGAUGACCUAAUAAUGCUAGGAUACGGUGACAGACGAGGUCAAUUAGAAACUCCAAACUAUUUAGAAGACCCUGCCAGCCAGAAAGCCAUUAGUCCUAUCCCAAAUGAAGUAAUUUGUCCAGAAAGCCCAGGUAAUUUGUGGAGGAACUAUGAAUUUCUGGUAAAUCGAAUGUGCUACUUGGAGAACCUCAUUCAGUCCUUGAAGAUGAACAUCUUUCACCUGCAAACUGAAAAGGAAUCGAAUCCACAGAAAACAGCUUUUCUGAACGAUCAGCUGAAUAUAAUACAAGGGGAGCAUUCCAAGGGCCUGAAGCUGUUGCAACUUGAAGUGAUGAAUUUGCGCCAGCAAUUGAAAGUUGUCAAGGAGGAAGAAGACAGGGCACAGGAUGAAAUGCAGAGAUUGACUGCCACUCUGGAAAUUGCCACGGAGACAAAGAAGAAUGCGGCUGUUAUUGAGGAGGAACUAAAGACCACAAAGCGUAAAAUGAACCUUAAAAUCCAAGAGCUACGGCGACAACUGGCUCAGGAGAAGCUUGUCAGGGAAUCUCUUGAGACAUCUGCAUCGUCCAUGCUCCUCAAAGUACAAGAGAUGGGGUCAGUGGUGGAGGCAGAACGGCAGCAGGUACACGCUUUGCAGGAGAAGUGCACUGCCCUACACAGCUCUAUGAAAACAACCCAAGACCUGCUGGCCCAGGAACAGCGGAAGAAUGAAGACUUGGGGAUGACUAUCUCGCAGCUCAAGUCUGAUCUGAAUUCCAGAGAUAACCUCAUUUGCAAGUUGGUGGAAGAAAAUAAGGCUACACAAAUAUCUCUCAAGAAAGAACAUGAAGAAAACAUAUAUUUGAAAUCUGAAAUACUAUCCCUUCAAGAUGUAUCAGGAAAAGCACAGGUUUUGAAUGACCAGCUUUCCAAAAAGUGUUCAGAGCUAACCAGCAUGCUUCAGGUUGUUAAAAUGGAAAAUUCAAGAAUUAUUGCUGAACAUCAAGCUAUUUUGAAGGUUGAGCAGAAAAUGAUAACAGAGACAUUUCAAGAGCAAAAUUUACUGUUAGACGCAGCCCAUGCCAGCAUCACAGGAGAGCUCCAAGCUGUGCAGAAUGAAAAGGCGCAACUCCAGAUACACCUAGACCAUUUAAUCCUUGAGCACAAUCAGUGUCUUCAGAAAUCACAGGAGGCUGAGAAGAGGACAGUGGUCCAAAAAGAACUUCUGGAAUCAACUAUUGCAAGACUACAAGGUGAACUGAAAGCAUCAUUGCAGGAGAAGAAGUCUCUGCUGGAGAAGAAUGAGUGGUUUCAGAGGGAGGUUAAUAAAACAGAAAAAGAAGUAGCCAAAGAAAAAUGCAAUUUGGAAAAAGAAUUAGCUGAAAGCAAGGAAGACAUUAAUGUGUUGAAUCAAAACCUGCAGACUCUAAUGGAAGAAAAUAAGCAUCUAACAAAUAAAAUGGCUUCCCUUGAACAUCACAAAGCCACUUCUGACUACCAAGGGAAAGUGGAAAAGGCCUUGGAAAAAAUUACUGAUAGCAAAAAUAUGCUCGCCUAUGAAAAGGGGAAACUCCAGUAGUAUAAAAGCAAAUCUUGCUGCCCUGCUUCUGGCUCCAGGUCCCUGGGUGGGACCACUGUGACCCGAUGGCUGCUCUCUGGAGUUGGAGAGUGGGAGGCAGUGCAGCUGAGGAUCUGAAAGGAAGAGACAAAGGUUAAACAGCUAGAAGCACAGCUUCACACAUUCGCUGAAACCAUGCUGCAGAAGGACCAUCUACAUAAGCUGAAUAAGGCUUUAGAGGUCAAAUAUACUCAGGCAAACUCAGAGCUGAGUGCCAGCAAGGCGUAUCUGGAGCAGACAGAAGCUCACCUGAAAGAGAUGAAAUCUAUUCUUGGGAAAAAUGAGGAAGAACUGGCCCAAGCAGUGAAGUGUCGAGAUGCUGCCCUGAAAGAGAGCCAGAAGUUGAAAGGGGACCUGAAGGCAUUGGAGGACAGGGAGAGCAAGAAGGUGGGAAACUUUCAGAAACAAUUAGCAGAGGCUAAAGAAGACAACUGCAAAGUUACAAUCAUGCUGGAAAAUGUGCUGGCUUCUCACAGUAAGAUGCAGGGAGCCCUGGAGAAAGUCCAGAUAGAGCUCGGACGGAGGGAUUCGGAGAUCGCAGGCCUUAAGAAGGAAAGGUCUCUAAAUCAACAAAGAGUACAAAAGCUUGAAGCGGAAGUGGACCAGUGGCAGGCCAGGAUGCUGAUUGUGGAGGCCCAGCACGGCAGUGAGAUUGAGCCACUACAGAAGUCUCUAGAUAUAACUAGAGAAGACAACAGGAAACUGGCCAUGAGCCUAGAGCAAGCUCUCCAGACAAAUGGCCAUCUGCAGUCAAAGCUUGAUCACCUCCAAGAAAAACUGGAAAGCAAAGAGCGUGAGCGGCAGAGUCUGGAAGCCUUCAAAGAGCAGGUUGCUGAGGAAUCCAAAGUAGAAGCAGAAUUGCAUGCAGAGCGCAUUGAAGCUCUGAGGAAGCAGUUUCAAACCGAGAGAGAGACUGCAAAGAAAGCAUCACAGAGGGAAGUUUCUGAGCUGAAGAAAGCUCUUGACGAAGCCAACUUCAGGUCGGUGGAAGUGUCCCGGGCAAACCGAGAGCUACGACACAAAGCUACGGAGCUGGAAAAAGUGGUGAACAGUAACAAGGAAAAACUCAAGAACCAAAGGGCCCAAAUAAAGCUGCACUUGUCAGCCAAGGCAAAUAACGCACAGAACAUGGAGAGGAUGAAGCAAAUAGAAAUGGAAUUGAGGCAAAUGGAGAUAAUUAAGGAUCAAUAUCAGAAAAAGAACUAUGAACAGUCCUUGAGCAUCCAGAGAUUUGUAUCUGAGAUGAAUACCCUGCAGAAGGAGAUGGAGCUGUUAACUAAGAGCCAGUAUGAGACCUCGGCGAGAAAUAAGCAGCAGGAGCUGAGACUAGUGGCUGAGAGAAAAAUGAGGCUGGAACUAGAAAAUCGGUGCAAGGAAUUGGAAGAAACUAUCAGACACCUGAAGAGAUGUAAAGAAGCAACAGAAAAUAAACUAAAAGAAGCCAGUGUGGAGUCAGAACAGUCUCACCCAGAGAGCACUUCCUCAGACUGAUGGCUGUCGGGACACUGUACAAACACAUUGCAAGGAACCCAUGGGAGAUAUGAGUCUUCUGAUGUACAAGGUUCGAUGGACUACAACUUGAGCUGACAAAAAACCGGUUGCAGAGGCUUCCCCGGGAAGACAGGUGGCUGGAAGAGAAUCAAGAUAUGAUGCAUAAUGUUGCAACCAGCCAAUCUGUUCUACAUCGAUGGGAAACUAAGCAGAAGUACCAUUCUGACACAGAGAGGAAGAAGUGACCUUGACACAGGUGUCUCCUCCGUAGAAGCUAUUCUGCUGGCCAGCAAGUGGGGCUGGCCUGUUUCUACGUUAGAAGACCAUGAUGUGUGCUGAAGGUUUUGGGCUUUGUCCUUUAUGAACUCUUUUCUAUUACUGCAGAACCAACCCAUCUCUUUGUCCCUUUCCCUAUUUUCUUCCAAAUAAAUUUAAACUAGUUUGUUUUAUGAUAGUAGAUGUGUCACAUGGUAUUUGCUGUUUUCAGGAAGAAUUUAGUGUUGUGUGAAAUGGCCACAGUAAGAUGUUCUAGAUGAAUUUUGUACGAUGUUCUCUGGAAAUAAAAUUAUUUGUAAAAAUA